ACACAAGUAUGCAAUUAUUACAUUUGGGACCCUAACUACAAUCUAAAACGGGAAUCUUUGGAAAUAAUAAACCUAUUUAUUACAUUUGUUUAUCCAUAUAUAUUUUCUUGGUAAAAGGGAAAAACUUAUCUAUUACAAUUUGGCAUUUAAAAUAUCCUCCAAAAUAAUCAAAAGACUUAAAUCAAACAUAAAAUGAAUAAAAAGCUAAAAUAAGCAAAUAAAAGAAAAAUACAUAAAACAUAUAAUCACACUUAAAAACACAUAGGAGCACAUAAAAGGGUUUAAAAAAUAAUAGAGGGUACAUCCCUUGAAAUAAUGGUUAAAUGAGGUAGAGUUUGCCCUAUUUAUACUCCAAAACCAACAAAAAUUGUCAAGACACCAAUUUAAUUAACAAUUUAAAAGAAAUGUAAACAUAUAACAAAUUCACUUUAUUAUUUUAAAGAAAUAUAAAGAAAUAUAAAAUCUCUAAAAAUUUACAAAUUAGAUGCAUUUGAAUGAAACAUGAUUAACAAUUAAAGAAGAUAAACAAUUGUAAUUAACAAAAAAUCAAAACCAUUAGGGACUCAAUUGCAAAAUUUGCAGAAAUUAAAAGUUUUUCAGGUCAAAUUUUAAUUUUUAAAAAAUUAGGGAUCAAAAUUGAAUAAAAAUAAAAUUUAGGGAUCAAAAUACAAUUAAAUUAAGGAAUUAAUUGAAAGAAAUAGAGAAAUUAUUCAAAAGAGUAGGGACUGAAGAGCAAAAUAUUCUUUUCUGCUUGUACAAAGACAACAAACAUUGGGCCAUUUCUAUGUAUUUUGGGGCACAACACUUUGGCCCGAGGAAAAUAAAUGGGUUAUAUUAUUAAAAAAAAAAUUCCGCCCAAUUUAUUUUUACUUGUUAAACCUAAGAAAGGAAGCGGGGUUAAGUUUCAAAAUCCAAUGAAAUUAAACACAAACCCAACAGGCAAAAAUGAAUUCUAACCAAUGUCUCAGCCCAUAAACAUGACCCAACAGCAGCCAACUCAUCUGGAAAGAUCAAACAAGAGAAGGCAAACGAAAUUUGCAAAGAAAGAACAAAGCACUAGUUUCCGGAGAAAAAUGUUUUCGAGGGUUUCUAAGGUCGACUUUUGGUAUAAACAUGAUCCUUGCAAUUUUGUGAACUCACUCAAAUCAUCAAACAAGAUUUUUAAACAUCAUAAGUCAUGCAAAAGUGAGAUCUAAGGUUCAUAAAUUUAGAACUUUCCAUGGCUCGUCUAGAUCUCAUUUAAACGUUAAAUCAACGAAGAGAAGCGAGUAAUAGUUACCUCUGAUACUUGCUUGAAUCGAAACAGGAGUGAAAAGCUCCAGGAAUACGUGCAAAUCUUCGCGAAGAGAGCCAAACCAAGAAUUGUGAAGCAGGAAAAUUUGAGGUCGAAUUCAAGGUAUUUACGAACAUUUUUUCAGGAAAGUUUCAAGACAAAAGUUUCUCCCCUACAACUAGAGAUGGUGCAGAAAAAAAUAAUCUCCUCAAAAGGAGGUUGGAGUUGGUCGGAAUAAGAUGACGAGUAGAGCUAUUCGGUCAGCCCUUACUCAAAUUUUGUUUGCAGAAAUUUUUUUUUUCUUCCUUUUUUUUUUCUUCUCUGAUGCUUAGUCGACUUUUCUCCUUUUCUCCCCUAACCCUAAGACUCUCUCUUAUCCUUUUAAAUGAAAACAAAAAUUGAUUAAUCCCUCAGAAUAAUGGUCCAGAUGGAAACAAGGUUUUAUGGCAAUAUUUGGUCCAUUUGAUCUUGUUUGUUAGUUGUUGCUUGAGAGAUUUUUGAAUGGUGAGGUGUUCAUGGUACGAAUUAAUCUUUGGGGGCAAAGAAAACAGGAAACAAAAACGAAUUUUGGUUGCCAAAAAAUCAAGCUCUUUUUUGUACUGCUG
rnacentral:lncRNA from 1 species